AGCUGCCCUUGCUUUGUCAUUUU
rnacentral:miRNA from 1 species